GUUGACGUCCUCGUGCUGCACUACGGGUUGCAGAAACCUAUCUACUACAAAGAGAUCUCCAUCUUCAGUCUGGACAGCUGAGGGCAGACGGAGCAGACGGAGCUCCUAUGAAAUACAGCGCUGUAAUCAAGAGGCCUAAUGAGACAUCGUCGUGGAAACUACGAUAACGCACACACAUCGAUAAGACAGACCGAGCUCUGCUGAAUAAGCUUACUUGGACAGUAUUGUGCGCUUGACAACACACACAUGAUCACACACACGUCAUUGCACAUGUUCUUUUGUAUGUAUUAGAAAAGCCUUUUUUUUUAAAUUUAACUUCAUGGUUUAAUUACCAUCGAGGAGCCAAGGCUCUGAAGUAGCACUGAAGCAGUGUUAUUUAAAUACGGCCUGGACCGCUUUGAAAUGAACUGUAAAAGUGCCGAUACUGCAAUGAAUAACGUUUUAUAUUUAGCAGUUUUGACCCUAUGUAAUUUUUCGCAAAAGUAUAUACACAGUCGAUGUGUGAAGAUAGUUUACACCAUGUUUAGUUUAAAUUAAGCUGUUCUAUUAAUGUCGAGUUUUACAGUAACUCAUCAUUUCAGUCGCAAUUCUUUGAUUAGUGGUAGCAGUCACCUUGCAAUAACUUGUUUUUCCCCAUCAAUUCAUAGUAUGACACUGUCCCACUUUAAAUGAAUUACUUUAAAGGUUUAAUAAACCCUUUUUAUAAUGACUAUUUUAAAGCAAAUUCAUACAACAGGAUAACAUGACUCUCAGCCAAGUGCUUUGCCAUGUGUAUUGGGACCACAAAUGUUCCGCAAAUGUUUAAGUUGCCAGUAGGAAGGAAUUCUUGAUACCAUAUUCAAACUCACAAAUCAAAUACGUUGAUAUAGCAAUUUUACUAACUAGUGUAACUCCCAGUCCUCAACUCCUGUUUAGUCUCUGUGCCCAGAUUAGGGAUUACAUCUGGAUUUACCUUCAACCAGUGGUGUAAAGUACUUAGGUAAAAAUAGUUUGAAGUACUACUUAAGUCGUUUUUUGGGAUAUCUGUACUUUACAAUUAUAUUUUGGAGUUUUUACUUCGCUA
rnacentral:lncRNA from 1 species